rnacentral:lncRNA from 1 species
AAUAUUAAAUUUCAUAUUUUAAGUUUUAAAUUUUAAAUUUCAAAAUUUUAAAUUUUACAUUUAGGUAUUAAAUUUUAAAUUUAAAGAUAAAAUUUAAAUUUAAAUAUUAAAUUUUAAAAUUUUAAGGUUUAAUUUUUAAAUUUCAAAACUUAAAAUUUCAAUAUUCAAAUUUAAAUUUUAAAUUUACUAUCACGCCCCGGAUUACUCGUUUUCCCGGGCUCGCUAACAGACCCGCCGUAUACAUAGGUAUUUCCCCUGUAUACGAAGCGAAAAAGUAGUAGUACCUGUAAUCAUACAAUACUACAAACAGUAGUAUAGAGCAGCUAGGAAAAUAAACCAUAUAUAAAAACGGUGGUUCAAUACAUGUCAUCCAAAGUAUACAAAUACUCGCUCUGGCGAGAAACAACAACUGUAUGUAAAAACCCAAAAACUACAAUUACCUGUAGCUGGUGCUCCUCUAGCUCUGUAACUCAACUGGGAGGGCUCUAACUCGCGACGCCCUUGCCACGAUCAAGAUCAGUAACAGCAGCAGCCGAAGGCGACGGCUCUGCAAAAACAGUGGUAACAACAGAGCAUGAGAACUAUUGUAAAAACAAGUAGUCCUCAGUGGGUACCGCCCUCAAACACAUCGGUCCACCCACUAAGUCUACAGGAAUAAGCAGGAAUAGUAAAGAAAGCGGGAACAAAUCUACAGUUAAAUACCGCUAUACUAUCAUGCUUUAACUCUAACCAUCUAUAGAACAGUGUCAACUCAGACCCAAUCUCAAAUAAGGACUGUAAUCAUACCCGUCCCUGGUAUUGUGAACACACCCCUUCCGCCCGGUUGCGACUAUAUAGCUACCUCCACACUAACCAGUCCGUGGAGAGCAAGUCCAACAUACACGAACGACACCAAUGCAAACGCACUAAGCCCGACUUCGGAGUGGCACUCGUGGGCGCUACCCAACCAAGUAUGCAAGCGUAUCUCUGUCGAGCUCAAUCAGGCUCUAUCAAGCCAAAGACAAGUAGCUAGGGUCUCAAUCCAUGCUCGAACAGAUAAACUCGAUGCGCCUCAUCCCUGGCCACGAACGGCACACAGUUCAGGAGUCGAGUGAACUCCCGAAUGUACUCCUGGACUGUCCGCUCGCCCUGCUAAAUCCUCUUCAGAUCCUCUUCGAGCUUCUAUUUCACACUGUUGGGAAAAUACAUCCCGAACAGCAUUUCACAGAACUCGUCCCACUUUAGCUGCAACGCCACUAAUCCAUAGUCUUGUCUCACCCUCCUCCACUAGGCGUGAGCAUCGCCAACUAAGCAGUGUACACCCAAGGACACCUGCUCCUUCUCAGGAAUGAACAAAUCCUCGAACAACUUCUCCAUCGCAUUGACCCAGCCCUCAACAACCCAGGCCUCAGUGCAACUGCCAUCAAAGGUCGGUGGAUCAAAACGGCGAAAACGAGCCAACCUCUCUGUCAUCCGCUCCUGCUCGGCCUCAGUCAUCUAUACCGGCCCUCUAGGAGGCGUAACUGGUGCUGCGGGAAUAUCCACUGGUGGGGGUACAGCUGCAGCUGGUGCUGCCGCUGGAGUAGUCGGAGGUGGAACUGACGGCUCUGGUGCUCUCGGUGCCGUACUCUAUGGCGGAGCUAACCUCUCGCACAUUCUCUGUAGCAACUCCCCCUGCUGUCUCGUCACCUCUGUCAGGGCGGCUAUCUGCGCACUCAAAUCAGGGGAUGCUCUCGCCUCAGGUGGUGCACUCGGCUCUGCCUGCUCAGGCAUCUCAGGCGGUACGGCAUGAUCCCUGAGCGACGGUCGACCUCGGCGACAAUACAUAGCUGUAAAGAACAAAACAGGGGUCAGAUACAACAAAACACUCUCGACCCAAUCAAACGAAAGUCUAGAAGGCGGCCGCUGUUUCUCCUCAAAAUUAUGUCGUCUGUAGCCAACAUAAUUUCUCAGGCCAAAACAGAAACUCCUUCAAUCACUCACUCCACUCUAGGAGGAGUUAGAACAACGAAUCGUUGACUUUCGCGAUAAAUCACGCCUCUCGCGUCUUGCCUUCCUAAGGUUUGCCAAACUUAGGGUUCCUAGGUCCGAACGACCUACAGCUAAGCUCUGAUACCAACUUAAUCUGUCACGCCCCGGAUUACUCGUUUUCCCGGGCUCGCUAACAGACCCGCCGUAUACAUAAGUAUUUCCUCUGUAUACGAAGCGAAAAAGUAGUAGUACCUGUAAUCAUACAAUACUACAAACAGUAGUAUAGAGCAGCU